rnacentral:rRNA from 1 species
UGGGGAAUGUUAGACAAUGGGCGCAAGCCUGAUCUAGCCAUGCCGCGUGUGUGAUGAAGGUCUUAGGAUCGUAAAGCACUUUAGCCAGGGAUGAUAAUGACAGUACCUGGUAAAGAAACCCCGGGUAAAUCCGUGCCAGCAGCCGCGGUAAUAUGGAGGGGGUCAGCGUUUUUUGGAAAUUCUGGGGGUAAAGCGUAUGUGGGGGGAUCGGAAAAUGUGGGGUGAAAUCCCAGGGCUCAACCCCGGAAAAGCCUCCAAAACUCUCUGUGUAGAGUUUCAGAGAGGUGAGUGGAAUUCCAAGGGUAGAGGUGAAAUUUGUAGAUAUUUGGAGGAACACCAGUGGCGAGGGGGGCUCACUGGCUAGAUACUGACGCUGAGGUAGGAAAGUGUGGGGAGCAAACACGAGUAGAUACCCCGGUAGUCCACACCGUAAACGAUGAAUUCCAGUCGUCUGGCAGUUUACGUUUCGGUGACCCACCUAA